GCCGCCGCCGCCGCCGCCGAUGCCUCGUCCGCCUCCGCCUCCACCUCCAUGCGACGGCCCCGCCCGCGGUCUUCUCCCCCAGCUCGUCUCGUCUCCUCUCCUCUCCGGUCACCGCGCCGCCGUGCUUGAGCUGCGGCGAGCGGCAGAGGUCCGCCGCCGGCUGGCUCAAGCUCCAUCCUUGUCCACAAUCAAGCACCCCCACCGCCACCGCGCCCUCCUGGCCGCCUGCCCACGGCGCCGCAAGUCAAGUCCGCAGGAUCCCCUCCAAAAGCGUCGGAUUCGGAUGUGCAGUUUGAUGAGACGAUCCCAUCUCCAUCUCAUCUUCUCGUGUCAAGGACGCCAUGGAAGAGGUUUCGCUUCUCUUCAUUCAUGAGCAGGAUCAGGAUCAGGAUCUUUCUUGAACAAACUUAAUUAUUGGCAUGCAGAUUCAUGAAUCAAUUUAAUUUUUGUUUGUGCUGUAGGCAGCGUCAUCCCAUCUCAUCUGCUUGUGUGAAGGACAGGGGCCCUGGAGGAGCUGCUCCCCUGCGGGUUCAGUGGCUGCUCCGACACUGACGGCAUGGAAGGUCCUCGCUUGCCCUUACCUCUCCCUGUUCGGUUCCGUUCAUGAGCAGAUUUAAUUUUUGGCAGAUUCACGAAUCAAUUUUGUCCCACAAGUUGGAGCUUUAUGUGGUUGCGACUAGGGAUUAUUGUAAUGCUAUUCGCUUUCACUGGAUGGACGUAUGAAUGAAAUUACAUGUGUUAGUCAAAUGAACAAAUUAGAUGACCCCCCAUGCCUACAAGCCUUCUUGGAUUAAAAUUAAAUGGUUUAUUGAUGUCUAGUUUCUGCAUGUUCUGGUUGGUUGUGAAACACAUGCGGUUUUUCUAGGCCGAUUCAGUUUUUUGGUUCUGUCUUGUUCUAGCCUUCUAGGUCGAUUCAGUUUUUCAUUUUCUCUCUUUAUGAUUUAAACACGAACUGCAGAUCCAGUAUCUGUUUGAUCAUCCAUGUGCCAUAUAUAUGGAGCUGUCUGUAGCAUUUGAUCACUACUACUACUAGCUGCAGCAACUAGUAGUGCCUUAACAAUGGGCUCUCUCUGGAAAACAAGUCUUCUUGAGGAGAAAUCUAACUGUACUAAGUACCAGCACAUGUUAUCAGAAUGGUAGCUUGUAUUGCUGCAGAGCCCAUUUCUAUCCUGGAAAGCAUGGAUUCUGUAGGAUAUGUAAAAUGGGACGUCAAACCUGAGAACUUUCAUCUCAGCCAGCCUGGAACUCCUCAAGAAAAG